rnacentral:lncRNA from 1 species
CUCUUUUUUCUAAUUUCUAUUUAUUUGUUUUUGCAGUGCUGGGGAUGAAACCCACAGACUCCUGCCAUACUAGCAAGUGCUCUACCACUGAACUGUGCCCUCGGCCCAGUCCUGUCUUUUAAAAUAUCCAAAGACGAACUGAAAACUGAAAUGAAUGAAGAGGAGGCAAGGAGCCGGACUGCUUCUGAGCCCAUUCCAGAAAAAACAGUUGGCAUCAAUGACAGUGAUGUUUACUAGAAAACUAACCUGCUUCCAACAGACAGUAGACAAUGGCUAUCCAAUAAUGUAA